GACGAACGCUGGCGGCGUGCUUAACACAUGCAAGUCGAACGGAAAGGCCCUGCUUGCAGGGUACUCGCGUGGCGAACGGGUGAGUAACACGUGGGUGAUCUGCCCUGCACUUCGGGAUAAGCCUGGGAAACUGGGUCUAAUACCGGAUAGGGGCCAUUUUUAGUGUGAUGGUUGGAAAGUUUUUUGGGUGUAGGAUGAGCUCGCGGCCUAUCAGCUUGUUGGUGGGGUAAUGGCCUACCAAGGCGGCGACGGGGAGCCGGCCUGGGAGGGUGGACGGCCAACUUGGGACUGAGAAACCGCCCAGACUCCCUCCGGAGGCAGCAGGUGGGAAUAAUGGACAAGUGGCCCAAGCCUGAUGCAGGGACGCCGCGGGGGGGAAGACGGGCUUCGGGUUGGAAAACCCUUUCGCUAGGGACGAAGCUGUUUGUGACGGUACCUAGAUAAGAAGCACCGGCUAACUACGUG
rnacentral:rRNA from 1 species